rnacentral:lncRNA from 1 species
GCCUGUUACUUUCUCUAUCUCUAUCUCUCCCUUGUCUUUCUCAACUGCAAACGCAAAACCAACCACUGCCGGCACCUUGUUUUCCGGUGAGUUCUUAACGACUUCGACUAGGUAAGCCUCAAAACCGAUGUGGGUUGUCCUAGAUCCCAAUUUUAUGUUGUUUCUGGCCUCAUUAUAACGUUUAACACAAAGAAAUACCUCGGGGGAAAGUUCCCUAGAAUUCUGACGAGAAACCCAGCCUUUGCAGGCUUUUUUCAGUCGAUCCCGACCUCGACUCAACUUCAUGCCCUUGUUCAUGACCUCCUAAGCUUCAGUUUGACUUUUAUUUAAUGAAAAAUAGUUAAGAAUCGAGCUCGAAUAGAGCUCGGAAAGUUUCCCAGCCAAACCAGCCGAUUCCAGCUUUCUUUUUUGUAGAAACCGGUGAUCGGAUCUAAAAAAAAAGGCCUUAGGCCCAAACCUGGUCCAAAAACUUUAGCCUAACCGGCCAAAACCCUUGGGCCGAUGUUCUAGCCCAGCCCAGUUCCAAAAUGGGCUCUGAAUAUUUUAGGAAUAUUCUUUGAAAUAUUCUUGUUGACUUUUUCGGAAAUUUUUUUCGGAAACCUUUCUAGGCUAAUUUUGAUGCCCCGAGUCCAUUUUUGACAUCCAUUUAGUGAAAUUCUGAAGUUUUAACGUAGUUGACCACUGGGGUGUCUUGGUUGACUUUUUAGGGUUAAUUGUUGACUUUUCUUUUACUUUUUACGAAAAUUUCUCGAGACCCUUCUUAGCGUAUUUCGACGUGCUGAUUCCAAAUCUGCCAUCCGUUUCUCCAAAUUCAAACAUUUUAAUUGAGUUUUACUAAUGGGUCCCAAUACUAUGCUUAGGUGUGAUUACUAUCGGAAACUCCGGCUUCCUAGCUCGAACAGAUGUGAUGUCGCAAGUAACUGUGAGUGGGUCUUUACUUUUAAAUAUUAUAUAUUUAUUUAGUUUCCAUUCAUACAUUUGAAAAAUAAUUUCCUACGUAUGCCUGGAUUCGACUAAAGUUUAUAAGCGAAAUAACGAAAAUUACAAAAUUAUCCUAAAUCCUACGGGAUGGACAUGUAUGCGUACUUUUAUGGAAAUUUAAGUACAACCAUGAUUAAUAUUUUAUUUAUUACUAUUAUGUUGUGAAUUUUCGAUUUACUGUUAAGUGAUCAUAUUUAUGUUAUUUGCUCAUACGAGAUUAUGUGAUUAUGGACGUUGUGUGUUUACUUAUGAAAUAUUGUGAUGUAUUUAAUUCUUGAGAUACUGCAGGCUACGGUAAGUAUUUUCUUACCAUACGUAGUAUGUAUAUUUUGGAAACUAUACUUGUUUUACGGCGAGAAGUUAUUAUGUUUUCGAAAAGGUUUUUACAAAGCUUUAUUUUAGGCCCACUCACCCUUGUUUUUCGCCCCUCCAGGUUUUAAGGCUGAGCUUUCGUGUCAACGAUGAUUCAUGGCAACUCUUGGUAUUGGACAUUACCUUCGAUGGUGUAAUUCUCCAUCCACUCUACUGUAUUUUACUUACACUCUGACAUCACAUGUGAAAUGGGUUCACUCCCGCUCACUAGCGCACUUAAGGGUGGGCAUAAAAGCUGCAUCGAGCCGUAUAAAAAAAACCAAAAAGAACCAUGUUGACCGAAAAAGUCAACUUUGAGUCAAAAACCGAACCAGACAGUUCAAACCAGUUUCUUUUCCGGUUUCAAAUGACCAAGAACCGAUUAGGGCUCACACAGCCUCACCCUCACCUCUCUCACAUCCCCAUUCCCCCAUUUCACACAGCCGACCCUCCUCUCAUCCAAAAAUAUCAACAAUUCCUCAGGCAGCCCAUAACCUCAACUUUCUGCGACGGCCCUCAUCAUCCAUCCUUCGUGACAACUCAUGACUCUUUGUCCUCCGUCCUCCUUCCUUGGUUUUUUCUCUAUCAUUUCUAAUAUUUGAGAGUAGGAAUAUGGUUGAGUUCCACUGGUUUUCCAUUCUCUUUUACUUGCACUAUAUAUGUGUGAUUAACACUGUCUAAUUGAGUUUUAUGACUCAUGUCUUGCAGAUAGGUUCCUUGCCGAUGUCAUGAGUAAAGGUACGUAACAUGAUUUGUUCCCUUUUUUUGUUCCAUAUUGUUGGGUUGAUUUCUAUCACUUCAUGGUUGGAUUGUUUCAGUUUUUUUAUACCUGUGCUUGUACCAUACUUAGGGCCUCUGUAUUUAGACCUCGUAUAAAUACUCAAGGGAUUCAAAUGUAAUUAUGUAAUAAAUGAAGGGGUAAAUAUGUAAUAAGUGAGGAGCCCUUAUUCUAUAAAAGGACCUCCUCACCCUCACAAACCUCAAGCUCCCAUCCUCACAUACAGAGGCCACAUAGCUCACAAACAAAGAGCUCUCUCAAACUCUCACUUUCUCUAAGGGACUCCUCCUCACACUUGUAAUCCAUACAUUCAUACAGAGAAGAGAAAUACAUCAGUGUGGACGUAGCCCAAACAUUGGGGUGAACCACGAUACAUCUUGUGUUCUUGACUUUCUUGCAGAUUCACGGUCUAAUUUACGUUGUUCCAAGACCUCUCUGGUUUUGUGCAUAAACAUUUGGCGCCGUCUGUGGAAAACGACACGAAAAGCUAUGUCGG